AGUGGAGCCUGCGGUUUAAUCGGACUCAACGCCGGGAAACUCACCAGAUAAGACAGCUGAAUGAUAGUCGGGCUGAAGACUCACUUGACCAGCUGAGAGGAGGUGCAUGGCCGUCGUCAGUUCGUACUGUGAAGCAUCCUGUUAAGUCAGGCAACGAGCGAGACCCACGCCAACAGUUGCCAGCUCGUCCUCCGGGAUGGUGGGGACACUGUUGGGACCGCCUCUGCUAAAGAGGAGGAAGGAAUGGGCAACGGUAGGUCAGCAUGCCCCGAAUUAUCUGGGCUACACGCGGGCUACAAUGGGUGGGACAAUGGGUAUCGACACCGAAAGGUGAAGGCAAUCUCCUAAACCCAUCCGUAGUUCGGAUUGUGGGCUGCAACUCGCCCACAUGAAGCUGGAAUCUGUAGUAAUCGUGUCUCAAAAUGGCACGGUGAAUAUGUCCCUGCUCCUU
rnacentral:rRNA from 1 species